GAUGAACGCUGGCGGCGUGCUUAACACAUGCAAGUCGAACGGUGAACACGGAGCUUGCUCUGUGGGAUCAGUGGCGAACGGGUGAGUAACACGUGAGCAACCUGCCCCUGACUCUGGGAUAAGCGCUGGAAACGGCGUCUAAUACUGGAUAUGUGACGUGACCGCAUGGUCUGCGUUUGGAAAGAUUUUUCGGUUGGGGAUGGGCUCGCGGCCUAUCAGCUUGUUGGUGAGGUAUUGGCUCACCAAGGCGUCGACGGGUAGCCGGCCUGAGAGGGUGACCGGCCACACUGGGACUGAGACACGGCCCAGACUCCUACGGGAGGCAGCAGUGGGGAAUAUUGCACAAUGGGCGCAAGCCUGAUGCAGCAACGCCGCGUGAGGGAUGACGGCCUUCGGGUUGUAAACCUCUUUUAGCAGGGAAGAAGCGAAAGUGACGGUACCUGCAGAAAAAGCGCCGGCUAACUACGUG
rnacentral:rRNA from 1 species